GACGAACGCUGGCGGCGCGCUUAACACAUGCAAGUCGAGCGAGAACCCAGGCUUCGGCCUGGGGGAAAGCGGCGAACGGGUGAGUAACACGUGGGUAAUCUGCCCUCGGCAUCGGGAUAGCCCGGGGAAACCCGGAUUAAUACCGGAUGGCCCGACAGCUCUUCGGAGCGGUCGGAAAAGGUAGCUUCGGCCUCCGGCCGAGGAGGAGCCCGCGGCGGAUUAGCUUGUUGGUGAGGUAACGGCUCACCAGGGCUCCGAUCCGUAGCUGGUCUGAGAGGACGAGCAGCCACACUGGGACUGAGACACGGCCCAGACUCCUACGGGAGGCAGCAGUGGGGAAUCUUGCGCAAUGGGCGAAAGCCUGACGCGGCGACGCCGCGUGAGGGAAGAAGGCCUUCGGGUUGUAAACCUCUUUCAGGAGGGACGAAGCCACUCGGGUUAAUAGCCCAGAGGGUGACGGUACCUCCAGAAGAAGCCCCGGCUAACUACGUGCCAGCCGCCGCCGUAAGAC
rnacentral:rRNA from 1 species